AGAUCUGUGGGAGCACUUAUGCAAAACUGGGACCCUACAGAGAAGAUGAGCACAGUCUCUGCACAAGGAUGAUGUGCAAAUUUCUGAAUGUCCCAUAUGUUUU
ensembl:snRNA U6 U6 spliceosomal RNA